AUGCAACUAAUGGCAUGGUUCUACGGGUCUCCUAACAAUGUACCAUACACGACAAAGGACAUCGCAAACCAGCGAGCUAAAUUCCGCAUGGAGUACCGCCACGCUGAUGUGGGAAGCACAGUCUCAUACUUCCAAGAUAUGAAGGCACAAGAUCCAGAUUUCUAUUGGAGAAUAAAACUUGAUGACGAGGACUGGGUGGAAAAUUUGUUCUGGAUAGAUGGUGCGUCGCACAGGGCAUAUGCUAGAUACAAUGAUGUCAUCUCAUUCGGCACAACAUACAUGGCAAACAUGUACAAGAUGCCCUGUGCGCCCUUCAUUGGCAUUAAUAACCAUGGGUAG
rnacentral:rRNA from 1 species